rnacentral:RNase_P_RNA from 1 species
CAAGUACGCCUGACGGUCGCGGAUAUGACUCGAAAGGGUAUAUCUGAGGAAAGUCCGGGCUCCAUAGGGUAGGGAUGCCGGCUAACGGCCGGUGGAGGUGACUCCAAGGAAAGUGCAACAGAAAAUUACCGCAAUCGUUUAGGUUGUAAGGGUGAAAAGGCGAGGUAAGAGCUCACCGCCGCUAUGGUAACACAGCGGGCUGUGUAAACCCCAUCCGGAGCAACACCGCAGAAGAAACACGUAGGUUGACCCGACCGUUUCAAAGGUGGCUAAAGCUGCACGGCAACGUGCAUGCGCAGAUAGAUGACCGUCCACGACAGAACCCGGCUUACGGCGUGCUUGCAUA